CGUGUCUGAAAGUAUAAAAAAGAAAAAGAAAAACAUUCUUUCAAUUAGCAAAUGAUUAGCUAGCACUUACCAUGUACUGGGGUAUUGGGUAAGGGGCAGAGUUAGGGGCUAAUAAACAAUAAACUGAUAUCCCCAGUUUAGGAUAUUUAAAGAAGGAUACAGGCGUGCAAUCUUAGAAUGUGUAACCCUACCUUCCAGGAUAUCACUGUCUAGAAGGCAAUGAGCAUGGAGACAAUUAUAUACAUACAGAGUUCAGGGUUAUAAUGAAGUCCACAAUUCCAAAGAGACACAAAGAAAGGGUGGGGAGGAAUUUUGGGUACAAAACAAAGGCCCAGUAUGAACCUACAGUUGGAGACAGUGGAGGUGAGGCAACAAAAGGUUUUUCAAGCAAACUAUGUUUAAAGAGAACAAGUGAAAAACAACAUGACUAGUAGUCACCAAAAAACCCAUAGCCUGGAGACAGCUCUGUGAGUUCAAGGCCAGCCUGGUCUAAAGAGUGAGUUUUAAGACAGCCAAAAUAAACACAGAGAAACCCUGUCUCAAAAGGGGAAAAUAAAAAAUAAACCUACAUCCUGACUGGCUCCACACACAGCUAUGGUAUCACAAAAAAAGAUGAUGCUACCUGGGAUAGGUCAUUUUAUAAAUUAAUUAUUUGUUUAUUGGUGAUGCUAGGAAUUGAACCCAAGGCCUCGUGUGUGGUAGACAAGCAAUCUAUCACCAAACUAUAUCCUAGCCCCCGUUUUGGUUUUGAUUUGAAUUUUUUUGGAAAAUUUCCUUUCUAUUCUUGGUACCACUACGGCCAAGGAAUUAAACAAGGAAUAAGUCUGAUGCGACGGAAAGAAGAUCUAUAACAGGUGACCUUGGUGUCAAUCCAGCUGGCACCACACUUCAUCAACGACGCUGCUACACUUGUCUCAACUUUUGGCUGAGGAUCUCCUAACAAGAAGGAUUCCUGCUUCUGCUGCAGAAACCUCCCUGGACCUUCUGGCCCAGCUGAAGAAGAAAGACCAACAGAGAGUUAAAACAGAGAGUGGUGGCACCUACAAGAGGCUCAGGGAUCUAUGUGGAAAAGGAGGCAAGAAGAUUAUUAGAGUCAGAGGUGAAGAAGGAUGGCUCCAAGGAGACUGUGCAACACAUAAAAGACCUACACAGGUUCAAGCCAGACAGGGUCCAGCACUGAGGGAGAAGUAGACAGACACGGAGUCCCAGCCCUAACCAAGAAGCUACUUGCAACUGACAUUACUGCCAAAGGGAAAAUCAGUUUUCUCCAAUAUCUUCAAUAUCACUGGAUAUACCAACCACACUCCUGAGUCAACUAAACACCCAGGAGUAGUUGGUCAUCACAAAAUGAACUCAAUGGUAUUUUUGUGGACUUUUUGUUUCUUGCUUGGGGAUUUGUUUUGUUUUUGAGAGAAAUAAAAAACAUAAAUUUGAGUGAGUAAUGGGAGGUAUUGGGGCUGGGGAGAACAUGACCAAAAUAUAUGAAAAAGUUAAUAAACAAAUAACAGAGUAAUGUAAGAAGAACUGUAAAAGGGUCAUUUUCUGCUGUUUUGGGUCACCAUCACGGGAAAUGCACGUUUGUUCUGAGAUACCUGUAAAGCACCCAAGUAGAUUUCAAAUAGGCUGCUGGUGGAGUGUGAGGGUCCCCUAAUAACCAGAAAGUGAGUCCUUACCUCCAAGUCCUUCCGAAUGCUCUCAAACUCUUCAAUGUCAUCGAGCUUGAGCUCCAGGCGCGUUGGUUUCCGCCGUAGCAUAGUGAAGUCAGCACUGGCGGUCACACCCAGUGGCUGUCGGAAA